rnacentral:misc_RNA from 1 species
CAUGGGAGUUGGUUCUACCCGACGACGCUGCGCUAACCUUCGGGGGGCAGGCGGCCACGGUAGGAUCAGCGACUGGGGUGAAGUCGUAACAAGGUAGCCCUAGGGGAACCUGGGGCUGGAUCACCUCCUUUCUAAGGAUGUUUCUAGCAACUUAAGCUUGCUUUUGUUCGUGAAACACUUAGCAGAUUGGCAAACAAAGCCGAUCAUAUAUCGAACCGGACUGUCCUCAUAUCUCUUCAGUAUACAUCAGACCUACCGGUCUGUACUGGGUCGGUAGCUCAGGUGGUUAGAGCGCACGCCUGAUAAGCGUGAGGUCGGAGGUUCAAGUCCUCCUCGACCCACCAUUAACGCGUCUAUUUUAGGAUAUGGCGUGUAGGGGGCCUUAGCUCAGAUGGGAGAGCGCCUGAUUUGCAUUCAGGAGGUCAGCGGUUCGAUCCCGCUAGGCUCCACCAUAUAAAAAGUUUUGAUCAGAUCGCGAAGCACAAUGGUUUGUGUUUCGCCGUCCGAUUGGACGCAUUGACAUCGUUUAGAGAGAUACAAAUAUCAACAUUGUUUGAUCGCCCAAAGUAGCGGGAUGAUCUCAAUUUGGUGAAGCAAGUUUAGGCUUGUGGAGAGCUUUUGGAUCCACCCUUUUCCUCGGGUGCCCUUAAGUAUGCUGGGUUGAAACGAACAUGUUGUCCAAGUCAAGUACACUAACCCGAGCAGCAGUAAUGUUGCUCAACAGUUCAAACACACCGACAUGUGUUUGAGCGGGAAAGUAUGACUUUUGACCGGAAGAUGAGAUGCCUGGUGAACCAGCUUGGCAUCAUUCAGACGCAAGUCUGACUUUUUCUGGAUCAAAUCAAGCGCGAAAAGGGCGUUUGGUGGAUGCCUUGGCAGUAAGAGGCGAUGAAAGACGUGAUACUCUGCGAUAAGCCAUGGGGAGCUGAGAAUAAGCUUUGAUCCAUGGAUUU